rnacentral:rRNA from 1 species
AAAUAAAUAUUUAUUAAUUAUGUAAGUUUAUGUUAUUAUUUAAUAAAAGUAAUUUUAAUAAUAAAUUUUUAGUAUAUUUUAUAGAAAGAAUAAUUAUUAUAAUAGUUUAAUAGUAUUGUAAAAGAAUAUUGAAAUAUCUUGAAAAUUUAUUUUUUUGAAAGAAAUUUUUGUUUGAUGUACCUUUUGUAUCAGGGUUUAUUAAUUAAUGUUUAUUUAUAAGUAAAUUUCUCGAAUUUAAAAGAUUUAAUAAAUUAUUAAAGUUAAUGUUGAAUAAUUAUUUUAAAUAAUUUAUUAGUAAUGAAAUGUUACUCGUUUUUAAAUAUAUCUAGUUUUUUAAGAAAUAAAUUUAAUUUAUAUAUUUAUAAUAUAUUAUUUUAAUUUUAAAAAAUAUUAUUUAUAAAUAUAAAUAUAUUAAGGGAUAAGCUUUAAUUUAAUUUUUAUAAUAUUAAUAUGAUUAUUUUAUUGUAAGCUUAGAAAUAGUUAUCAAUAAUAAGUUUGUUUUAAUUUAUAAGUUUUUAUUAUAAUUUAUUAAUAUUUAAAUUAAGUAUUAAAAUUAAUAUUUAAAUUAUUGAAAUAUUGUAAUAAUGAUAAAAUUAGUAUAAUUAAUUUUUUAAGUAAAUUAAUUUUUAAAGAUUAAUUUAAGGAAUUCGGCAAAAAUAUUACUCACCUGUUUAACAAAAACAUGUCUUUUUGAUUAUAAUUUAAAGUCUAACCUGCCCACUGAAUUUUUUGAAGGGCCGCGGUAUUUUGACUGUGCAAAGGUAGCAUAAUCAUUAGUCUUUUAAUUGAAGGCUUGUAUGAAUGGUUGGAUGAGGUAAUAACUGUCUCAAAUUAAUAAAUAAUAAAACUUUAUUUUUAAGUUAAAAAGCUUAAAUAUAAUUAGAGGACGAGAAGACCCUAUAGAUCUUUAUAAAUUAAUAAAUUUUAAUUUUUUAGUUAAAAUAUGUUUUUAUUUGUUAAUUUAUUUUAUUGGGGUGAUAAAAAAAUUUAAAAAACUUUUUUUUUUAAUUAAACAAUGAUUUUUGAUUAAUUGAUCCAUUAUUAAUGAUUAAAAGAUUAAGUUACCUUAGGGAUAACAGCGUAAUUUUUUUGAAGAGUUCAUAUCGAUAAAAAAGAUUGCGACCUCGAUGUUGAAUUAAAGGUUAAUUUUAGGUGUAGAAGUUUAAAGUUUUGGUCUGUUCGACCAUUAAAUCUUUACAUGAUUUGAGUUCAAACCGGUGUAAGCCAGGUUGGUUUCUAUCCUUAAUUUAUAAAAAUAUUUUAGUACGAAAGGACCAAAUAUUUAAAAAAUUUUUUUAAAUUUGAAUAUUAUUAUU